rnacentral:rRNA from 1 species
UACGUAGGGUGCGAGCGUUUGUCCGGAUUUAUUGGGCGUAAAGAGCUCGUAGGCGGCUUGUCGCGUCGGAUGUGAAAGCCCGGGCUUAACUCCGGGUCUGCAUUCGAUACGGGCAGGCUAGAGUGUGGUAGGGGAGAUCGGAAUUCCUGGUGUAGCGGUGAAAUGCGCAGAUAUCAGGAGGAACACCGGUGGCGAAGGCGGAUCUCUGGGCCAUUGACUGACGCUGAGGAGCGAAAGCGUGGGGAGCGAACAGG